rnacentral:tRNA from 1 species
GUAAGUAUAGUUUUAACCAAAAUAUUAGAUUGUGAUUCUAAAAAUAGGAGUUAAAAUCUCCUUACUCACC